rnacentral:rRNA from 1 species
GUCAGCGGCGGACGGGUGAGUAACACGUGGGCAAUCUGCCCGAUACUCUGGGAUAACGCUUGGAAACGAGUGCUAAUACCGGAUGGUCUUCUUGGUCGCAUGGCCGAGAAGGAAAAGACGCGUUCGCGUCGGUGUCGGAUGAGCCCGCGGCGCAUUAGCUAGUUGGUGAGGUAACGGCCCACCAAGGCGACGAUGCGUAGCCGACCUGAGAGGGUGACCGGCCACACUGGGACUGAGACACGGCCCAGACUCCUACGGGAGGCAGCAGUAGGGAAUCUUCCACAAUGGGCGAAAGCCUGAUGGAGCAACGCCGCGUGAGUGAUGAAGGCCUUCGGGUUGUAAAACUCUGUCAUUCGGGACGAACCGGAGUCUGAGGAAAUGCAGACUCUCUGACGGUACCGGAGGAGGAAGCCCCGGCUAACUACGUGCCAGCAGCCGCGGUAAUACGUANGGGGCAAGCGUUGUCCGGAUUCACUGGGCGUAAAGCGCGCGCAGGCGGUGAUGUAAGUCUGAGGUGAAAACCCGAAGCUCAACUUCGGGACUGCCUUGGAUACUGCGUCACUUGAGGAUAGGAGAGGCAAGGGGAAUUCCACGUGUAGCGGUGAAAUGCGUAGAGAUGUGGAGGAACACNCKGUGGCGAAGGCGCCUUGCUGGCCUAUUUCUGACGCUGAGGCGCGAAAGCGUGGGGAGCAAACAGGAUUAGAUACCCUGGUAGUCCACGCUGUAAACGAUGAGUGCUAGGUGUAGGUGGGCUCAUACCCAUCUGUGCCGAAGCUAACGCAUUAAGCACUCCGCCUGGGGAGUACGGUCGCAAGACUGAAACUCAAAGGAAUUGACGGGGGCCCGCACAAGCAGUGGAGCAUGUGGUUUAAUUCGAAGCAACGCGAAGAACCUUACCAGGACUUGACAUCCCAUAGACCAGUCUAGAGAUAGACUUUCCCUUCGGGGCUGUGGUGACAGGUGGUGCAUGGUUGUCGUCAGCUCGUGUCGUGAGAUGUUGGGUUAAGUCCCGCAACGAGCGCAACCCUUACUUUGUGUUGCCAGCAUUCAGUUGGGCACUCACAAGGGACUGCCGCCGAUAAGGCGGAGGAAGGUGGGGAUGACGUCAAAUCAUCAUGCCCCUUAUGUCCUGGGCUACACACGUGCUACAAUGGGCGGUACAACGGGAUGCGAAGCCGCGAGGUGGAGCCAAACCCUGAAAACCGUUCGUAGUUCGGAUUGUAGGCUGCAACUCGCCUACAUGAAGCCGGAAUUGCUAGUAAUCGCGGAUCAUCAUGCCGCGGUGAAUCCGUUCCCGGGCCUUGUACACACCGCCCGUCACACCACGAGAAUGGGCAACACCCGAAGUCGGUGGGGUAACCUUUACGGGAGCUAGCCGCCGAAGGUGGGGCCUGUGAUUGGGGUGAAGUCGU